UCGCGCUAGCCACGUCGUCACAAGAAGACAAAAAGAAAAACAAGGUCCACGCCCCCGCACAGCUCGCUCGAUCCCCUUUCCCCUCUCGCUUUCCUGUCUCUCUCUCCACAAAACACCGCCGCCGCCGCCGAUUCCUCCUGGGCAUGGCCGUCUCCGGCGCUGCCAUCAAUAGAAGCGACUCCACCUCGCCCCACUCUACCGAUUUCCCGCCCAGCCGCUGCUCUACGCCCCCGCUUGCGCCCGCACAGAUAACCCUAGAGAGUAGGUCGUGGGGGAGGACGGAGAGGUCAUGGGGGAGGAAGAAGAGGAGGACGGAGGCCACAGGGGAGGAAGAAGAUGGCCCCCUCAUUCCCGAAGUUGGUCUUCGCAUCAACUGCGCUCGCUCCGCCUCUGCUUCCAGCGACCACGCCCGCCACAGUCUGUCACACAUAUCCAGUUGGAAUGCUAUGGCAGGGUUAUUAGCCAGGCAUGAGGCCUUUUGUCUUCUUAAAAACUACUUGGUUGGAAUGAUUGACGUGCCAUGCCACCGCUGCACUGAGUAGCAGCGACGACGGCUGGUGAGCAGCAACCUGAGGUGCCGGUGUUAAGCGCGGAUGGCCAGAUCUGUGCGGCGGAGGGCGUGGCCGAUGCUGGGAUGGAGGUCUUGCUGCCGGCCUCCAAGCAGUCGGUAGGCGCAAUGGAUCCUAAAGCUCCAGGCUGGAUCAAAAGUUAUGUCGAUUUGCAGUGUUACAUGCUCAUUGUGACUGAAAACUGGACUUAUUAGUGUAGGCAUAAACAUUGCAGGCACUGAUAAGAAAAGAUAUCUUAAACAAGUACUGCACCUUGAGAUCUAGAUGAUUCUGCAUUUAGUGUUAUGAUCUGUAGUUAUAGCUGAUACUACUAAAUGCUCAGAUGUACUUGUAUCUUUAAAAAUCAGUGAUUUAGCGAACAUUCUGCCAAUUGACACAUGAAGCAGAGUAUAAGAAGUUAUAGCAUGUUACAGAUAAACCAGAGGAAUUGGCAUGUAUGCGUGUGUUCCUGAUUUUGUAGGGUACAUUCAGUUGGGAUAUGUGGUCAAAGAUUAGGACACUAAUAUCAGUGUAGGUUACAUUUAUAGUUGCUUAAUUCAUGAUGCGCUCGUCUCGCCAUUUUCAUUCUGUGCGUGUAGGGUGAGGAUUGGGGUGGAAGCACCUGUGAGGACACCUUGUCCCAGUCAAGCACGAGCUGGCGGCGCAUAUGUUAUCCAGGAUCCUGCUCAGGGGUUUAGCCAUCGGCGACGAGAUCCAAAAGAUGGCCACGGCGGCAGUGGUGGCGGCAGUUGCCCCGGGUGGUGAUGUAGAGGGGAGGUACCAGUAGCAGGCUUGCAAUAUGUUCUACAAUGCUGAUAGUGAUGGAGGGGUUUGUUUGAGGUGAGCACGAAGAUCUCUGAGAUUUUCUUCUGCAUUUGUUUCGUGCGCACACAUAAAUGGAUGACUCUUCUUCUUGGAGCCCUAGGUUGUGGCAAAACCCCCUAUUGCUAGCACUUGCAGGAAAGCUCAACCAAAACCAAAAGGCGCGACCGUUGGUGGUUUUCUGGUGGUACCUCAAGGAGACCUUCUUCCCAGGUGACCCAUUCCACGUGGCGGUGCCGGUGUGUGAGCGAGCUGCCAGACCGCACGUGGCGGCGGCGCUUCGAUACUUCUUCCCGUUCCUGGAGUGGGCGCCAGCCUACGGGCUGGGCAACUCAAGUCGGACCUCAUCGCCGGUACUUCUUCUGGUUCCUUGAAGUUUGAUAUCCAUGCCCCCUUGUUAGAGCGGUGGAGAGAGAUGCGACAUGGAGUGAGGGAACUGUCGGCACCGGCAUAAGAGGUUGAUCUCCGCCCCGGUUUCCUCUAUGAUUACAUCAAGGAUGUAUUUUGUUGCUUGUUGGUUCUGUGUGCGGGAGCUCGAUGAUUGGGGGAGUUUAGAUCUGUGGUUUCAUUCUCAAAUUCUAUUCGUAUGGAUUGAGAUAGAGAUGAGAAGGUAGGUCCCUUAUUCAUGUAGGUUUUCUCUGUACCACUAAAUGUUUGUUUGAUUUUUUUCCAUGUAGGUUCUCUCUGAUUUUGCAUUAGUCUAUGAUCUUAGUCUUCAUUCUUUUAUUUUUAGUUUAUGAGAUUUCAGUAUUUGAUUCACUUAUUCUUGGUUUGGCAGAUAUUCAGUAUCUCUGUUCUUAUUAUUCAAUUUUUUUAUUUCUCAGAUUAGGAUUUUAGUACCUUUUCUUUUAUUAGUCAUCAGUUUUCUUCUUUAUUCAAUCAUAUUCAGCCUUAGUUCUUGUUCAGUCUUUCUUUAACUUCUUUUGUCCUUAGUCUCCAAUUUUCCUCUUUCUUCAGUCAUAUUCAGUCACACUUUGUUCAGUCUUUCAUUAUCUACUUCAGUCUGUAGUGCUCCUUGUGCAUAUAUACUUUGUUUUGCUCAUUCUUCUUUCUUAGCUUUGUUCUCUCAUUUUGUAUCGGCACAACCAAUAAUUCACAAGAUCAUCUAAUCCACAUAGGCAAAGGAAGAUUUUUCGUAGUAAAAUUCAGUAUAGUGGAGGGAAAGGAAGGUUUUUCGUUGUAAAAUUCACUACACUAGAGGGAAAAAGUUUCAAUGUUAUUAUCUAAUUGUUUCAUGGUUUUCUUAGUCAUGACUUUCUUUUCUCUACCAGCUUUAGGGGGAGGUCCAUCUAAUUUGACUUUGCCCUGGGCUGUCUGCAGUGAUCAAUAUUUCUCUUCAGCCUCAUUAUUUCUUUUCGAGAGUGCGCCAAAGGCUUACCUUAGCUUUAUAGAAGGAAGGAGUGAUAUUUACAAGUCAGCCUCAUUAUUUCAUUAAGUCCCUGCUCUACCCAGCCUUCAUAAAUUCAGUAUGCCCCUGUGCAUUAUGUAUAAAGACUUUUUUGAGCAUUCUUAUUUUUUAUCUUUUUGUUUCACCAGGAGGUUUUAUUACUAACCAGAGGAAGUUUCUUCUCCCACUUCGUUUUAGCGCAUGUUGUUUCAGAUGUGUUAUGUAAUAGUACUACAUAGAAGAGUUUUUUGCUUCAAGAAGUGUUAUGUAAUAGCAUAAAAACUACAUAAAUAGUUCGUUCUGUUCUGUUUUUUUUUCACUAGACAUUGAUGCUAUUUGUGCUCUUUAGCAGUGACACCAUAGUCAGUUAGCAUUUUCUGUCUUUUAGCUACACUGAGCCUUUGAUUUGUUUGUACCAUUAGGCUGUAGGGAAAUAUUACUAUAUGUAACAUGUAUUUUUUUUGUUCUUAUAAGAUGUUGUUUCUCAUUUCUGAAAUUUAUUUCUUGAUGCAGCUUCAUUCGGAUUUAUGUGAAUAUAAGCGUAAGAGGUCCACUGGGAAUGAUACAAAAUAAUUUCAGACGUGAGUAUCCGGAUCGCAUUGCUACUGGUCGUCUCUUGCGAUGGCGUACAGCGGGCUUUUGACAAAGCCAAGUCAUGGCCUCAUGAGGAUGCUUUUGGAUUAACUGUAGUGCAUUGUACCGUUUUAUGCUCCAUGCGAGAGUUGUACAUAUCCUCAUUAGAUGUACCCCUGCCUAUGAUGGUUCUGAACUCAAAUAUUAGAGUAUCUGUAUAUUUGAUCAA